rnacentral:ncRNA from 1 species
AAAGAGGCGAUGAAAGAGAACAGUAAAAAUCCUCUGCCUGUUAGAGAGUGGGAUUCGACGGCUGCAAGAUCCCUCGGGCAAAGAUUUUGAAAUCCCACUCCGGAGCCGUUCGGGAAAACCGAACCGGAUGCCCCCGAUACCGGGCUAAGAGUGAAUGCACCCUUUGUGCAUUAAUUAAGGUGGUACCGCGAAAGUAUGCCCUUUCGUCCUUUUA